rnacentral:rRNA from 1 species
CGUCAAAUCAUCAUGCCCUUUAUGAUCUGGGCUACACACGUGCUACAAUGGGUGGUACAAAGAGAAGCAAAGCCGCGAGGCGGAGCAAAUCUCAAAAAGCCACUCUCAGUUCGGAUUGCAGCCUGCAACUCGGCUGCAUGAAGUCGGAAUCGCUAGUAAUCGCGGAUCAGAACGUCGCGGUGAAUGCGUUCCCGGGCCUU